CGCGAACGUUGGCGGCGUGCCUAACACAUGCAAGUCGUGGGGCAGCAGGCUACUGUCUUUUGGCAGUAGUGCUGGCGACCGGCAAACGGGUGAGUAACACGUAGCUUACCUACCCAUAGGUUGGGGAUAACAUCCCGAAAGGGGUGCUAAUACCCAAUAAUGAGGAGACUCCAAAGCCCUUAUGGGCGCCUAUGGAUGGGGCUGCGUCCCAUCAGCUAGUUGGUGAGGUAAUGGCUCACCAAGGCUACGACGGGUAACCGGUCUGAGAGGAUGACCGGUCACAGUGGGACUGAGACACGGCCCGCACCCCUACGGGGGGCAGCAGUGGGGAAUAUUGGGCAAUGGCCGAAAGGCUGACCCAGCAGCGCGGCGUGGUGGAUGAAGCCCUUCGGGGUGUAAACACCUUUUCUGGGGGAAGAUAAUGACGGUACCCCAGGAAUAAGGGACGGCUAACUACGUGCCAGCAGCCGCGGUAAUACGUAG
rnacentral:rRNA from 1 species